rnacentral:rRNA from 1 species
UAGUCCACGCUGUAAACGGUGGGUACUAGGGUGUGGGGUCCAUUCCACGGAUUCCGUGCCGUAGCUAACGCUUUAAGUACCCCGGCCUGGGGAGUACGGCCGCAAAGGCUAAAAACUCAAAGGAAGUUGACGGGGCCCCGCACAAGCGGCGGAGCAUGCGGAUUAAUUCGAUGCAAACGCGAAGAACCUUACCUGGGUUUGACAUGGAUCAGGAGUGCUCAGAGAUGGGUAUGCCUCUUUUGGGGGUUGGUUCACGAGGUGGUGCAUGGCUGUCGUCAGCUCGUGUCGUGAGAUGUUGGGUUAAGUCCCGCAACGAGCGCAACCCUCGUUCACUGUUGCCAGCACGUUAUGGUGGGGACUCAGUGGACGACCGCCGGGGUACAACGUCGGAGGAAGGUGGGGAUGACGUCAAG